GCUUUCUUCGGAAACAUAUACACUUAAAUUGGAACAAAUACAGAAAAGAUUAACAUGGCCCCUGCACAAGGAUGAUACACAAAUUCAUGAAGCACUCCAUAUUUUU